UACGUAGGGGGCAAGCGUUGUCCGGAAUUAUUGGGCGUAAAGCGCGCGCAGGCGGUUCAGUAAGUUGGAUGUUUAAUGCCGGGGCUCAACCCCGGUACGCAUCCAAAACUGGUGGACUUGAGUGUAGGAGAGGAAAGUGGAAUUCCACGUGUAGCGGUGAAAUGCGUAGAUAUGUGGAGGAACACCAGUGGCGAAGGCGACUUUCUGGCCUAUAACUGACGCUGAGGCGCGAAAGCGUGGGGAGCAAACAGG
rnacentral:rRNA from 1 species